rnacentral:rRNA from 1 species
AGAGUUUGAUCAUGGCUCAGGAUGAACGCUGGCGGCGUGCCUAACACAUGCAAGUCGAGCGAUCUUCUUCGGAAGAGGGCGGCGGACGGGUGAGUAACGCGUGGGUAACCUGCCCUGUACACACGGAUAACAUACCGAAAAGGUAUGCUAAUACGAGAUAAUAUGCUUUUAUCGCAUGGUAGAAGUAUCAAAGCUUUUGCGGUACAGGAUGGACCCGCGUCUGAUUAGCUAGUUGGUAAGGUAACGGCUUACCAAGGCGACGAUCAGUAGCCGACCUGAGAGGGUGAUCGGCCACAUUGGAACUGAGACACGGUCCAAACUCCUACGGGAGGCAGCAGUGGGGAAUAUUGCACAAUGGGCGAAAGCCUGAUGCAGCAACGCCGCGUGAGCGAUGAAGGCCUUCGGGUCGUAAAGCUCUGUCCUCAAGGAAGAUAAUGACGGUACUUGAGGAGGAAGCCCCGGCUAACUACGUGCCAGCAGCCGCGGUAAUACGUAGGGGGCUAGCGUUAUCCGGAAUUACUGGGCGUAAAGGGUGCGUAGGUGGUUUCUUAAGUCAGAGGUGAAAGGCUACGGCUCAACCGUAGUAAGCCUUUGAAACUGGGAAACUUGAGUGCAGGAGAGGAGAGUGGAAUUCCUAGUGUAGCGGUGAAAUGCGUAGAUAUUAGGAGGAACACCAGUUGCGAAGGCGGCUCUCUGGACUGUAACUGACACUGAGGCACGAAAGCGUGGGGAGCAAACAGGAUUAGAUACCCUGGUAGUCCACGCCGUAAACGAUGAGUACUAGCUGUCGGAGGUUACCCCCUUCGGUGGCGCAGUUAACGCAUUAAGUACUCCGCCUGGGAAGUACGCUCGCAAGAGUGAAACUCAAAGGAAUUGACGG